AGUGAACGCUGGCGGUAGGCCCAACACAUGCAAGUCGAACGGCAGCACAGUAAGAGCUUGCUCUUACGGGUGGCGAGUGGCGGACGGGUGAGGAAUACAUCGGAAUCUACUUUUUCGUGGGGGAUAACGUAGGGAAACUUACGCUAAUACCGCAUACGACCUACGGGUGAAAGCAGGGGAUCUUCGGACCUUGCGCGAUUGAAUGAGCCGAUGUCGGAUUAGCUAGUUGGCGGGGUAAAGGCCCACCAAGGCGACGAUCCGUAGCUGGUCUGAGAGGAUGAUCAGCCACACUGGAACCGAGACACGGUCCAGACUCCUACGGGAGGCAGCAGUGGGGAAUAUUGGACAAUGGGCGCAAGCCUGAUUCAGCCAUACCGCGUGGGUGAAGAAGGCCUUCGGGUUGUAAAGCCCUCUUGUUGGGAAAGAAAAGCAGCAGGUUAAUACCCCGCUGUUCUGACGGUACCCAAAGAAUAAGCACCGGCUAACUUCGUG
rnacentral:rRNA from 1 species